CCCAACUCUCCAAUCCAAGAGUCUUCUUCUAUAAACAAUGUCUUAUUUUUAGCUUCCUCUUCUUUAGUUAAAUUUUUCGAUCUUAUUUAACGUCUUGAGUUAACAAAAGGAUUUUUCGAUUAUAUAUAUAUAUAUAUAUAUAUAUAGUUUUUCGCCCAAUAAAUUUAUCCCGACAUAUUAAAAAGGUUGUCAUGGAUUCUGAGCAAUUCACCAAGAUGUUAGUGUUGUCAUUUGCGAAUAAUUUUGUUUGUUGAAUUCUAAGAUGUUGAGAAAAUUAGGUAGGAUUUCAUAGGGAUAUUUAGGUAUUAAAUUUGGAAUGAAAUAUGACACCAUUAAUUAUUAUCUAAAAAAUUUGAUUUUAUAUUUAGAUAUUUUAAAUCAGAUUAGUGUGAUUAAUCAUAUUUUGAAUUUUUCUUGUUACUUUUUUGCUGUACUUCAUUUGAUAAAUUCCGCAUAUAAGAAUGUUAUUUAAAUAUAAUUACAAGUGAUUUUAUUUAAUUGAAUAUAUCAUAAAUAAUAAUUAAUCGAUAUUAUCAAUUAAUUUUUAUUUAUGAUAAAUUCUAUUAAAUAAAAUUACUUGUGAUUAUAUUUAAAUAACCUGCUUGUAUGUGAGAUUUAUCGAAUCAAGUGGCAGUAAGAAAGUGACAAUAAAAAAUUAAAAAUAUGAUUAUCUAAAAGUGAAAUCAAGUUUAUUAGAUCGUCAUAUAUAUUCCAAAUUUAAUGCUAAAUAUUCCUAUAAAUUUCUAUCAAGUUUUCUCAACAUCGUAAAAGUUUAGCAGACAAAUUUUUCGCAAAUCACAGCACCAAUAAUAUCUCUGCAAAUUUCCCAAAGUCCAUGAUAAAACCUUUUUGAUAUGCCACAGAUUUUGAAGGUUUAUGACUGGGGCGCAGUAGAAAUAGCUAUUGGAUAGUACGCAUCUAGGGAGUGGGACAAAGUAAAAAAAAUACAUCGUGUAUAUAAGGUCGCAUCCAAAUAUUUUUAUUGGUUCAAUACAAGAUUUUGCAGGCAGCCGUCCAAAUCUUCACUGAGUUUCACACAAGAUUAUUUUGAGUUCAAUGUAGAAACUAUUGCAAAACCUAGAGAAAUUGAAAAGGAAAGUCAAAAUAGUUGAAAGGGAAAACAAAAGGUGGUUCAUUAGAUCUGGACAGAUAUGGAUAAUUAUAAUUAUUUAUAUAAAUCCUAAAUAUGUAUAGCAAUUUAUAGAUUUAUUAAUUAUUAUUUAUACACAUCUAUAUACAUAACUA